rnacentral:rRNA from 1 species
AUUGAACGCUGGCGGAAUGCUUUACACAUGCAAGUCGAACGGCAGCACGGACUUCGGUCUGGUGGCGAGUGGCGAACGGGUGAGUAAUGUAUCGGAACGUGCCCAGUCGUGGGGGAUAACGUAGUGAAAAUUACGCUAAUACCGCAUACGAUCUACGGAAGAAAGCGGGGGAUCGCAAGACCUUGCGCGGUUGGUGCGGCCGAUAUCAGAUUAGGUAGUUGGUGGGGUAAAGGCCCACCAAGACAACGAUCUGUAGCUGGUCUGAGAGGACGACCAGCCACACUGGAACUGAGACACGGUCCAGACUCCUACGGGAGGCAGCAGUGGGGAAUUUUGGACAAUGGGCGAAAGCCUGAUCCAGCCAUUCCGCGUGCAGGAUGAAGGCCCUCGGGUUGUAAACUGCUUUUGUACAGAACGAAAAGGUUUCUACUAAUACUAGGAGCUCAUGACGGUACUGUAAGAAUAAGCACCGGCUAACUACGUGCCAGCAGCCGCGGUAA